AAUGAACGUUGGCGGCGUGGAUUAGGCAUGCAAGUCGAGCGGUAAGGCUCCUUCGGGAGUACACGAGCGGCGAAAGGGAGAGUAACACGUAGAUCAUCAACCCUGGGGUCUGGGAUAGCCACGAGAAAUUGUGGGUAAUACCGGAUAAUGUCUUCGGACCAAAGAAUUUUGCCCUGGGACGAGUCUGCGUACUAUUAGCUAGUUGGUGAGGUAAAAGCUCACCAAGGCGAAGAUGGUUACCGGGUGUGAGAGCACGACCCGGCUCACUGGGACUGAGACACUGCCCAGACACCUACGGGUGGCUGCAGUCGAGAAUCUUCGGCAAUGGACGAAAGUCUGACCGAGCAACGCCGCGUGCUGGAUGAAGGCCUUCGGGUUGUAAACAGCUGUCAGAGGGAAGGAAAUUUUGACUGAACCUCAGAGGAAGUCCGGGCUAAGUUCG
rnacentral:rRNA from 1 species